rnacentral:tRNA from 1 species
GAGCGUAUAGCUCAGUGGUAGAGUGUGUAUUUAGCAUGCAGGAGGUCCUGGGUUCAAUCCCCAGUACCUCCA